UGACUCUAGUCCGACUUUGUGAAAAGACAUUGGAGGUGUAGCAUAGGUGGGAGCUCCGGCAACAAUGAAAUACCACUACUCUGAUCGUUUUUUUACUUAUUCAAUUAGGCGGAAUUGGGCUUCAUCGCCCACUUUCUGGAUUUAAGGCGGUUCGCCCGCUGAUCCGAGUUGAAGACAUUGUCAGGUGGGGAGUUUGGCUGGGG
rnacentral:rRNA from 1 species